UACGUAGGGGGCAAGCGUUGUCCGGAUUUAUUGGGCGUAAAGAGCGUGUAGGCGGCUUUACAGGUCCGUUGUGAAAACUCGAGGCUCAACCUCGAGACGCCGGUGGAAACCGUAAAGCUAGAGUCCGGAAGAGGAGAGUGGAAUUCCUGGUGUAGCGGUGAAAUGCGCAGAUAUCAGGAGGAACACCCGUGGCGAAAGCGGCUCUCUGGGACGGUACUGACGCUGAGACGCGAAAGCGUGGGGAGCAAACAG
rnacentral:rRNA from 1 species